GAACACAGGUGGUGCAUGGCUGUCGUCAGCUCUGUCGUGAGAUUUGGGUUAAGUCCCGCAACGAGCGCAACCCUCGUUUUUAGUUGCCAGUAUUAAGUUAGGCACUCUAGAGAGACUGCCGGUGACAAACCGGAGGAAGGUGGGGAUGACGUCAAGUCAGCAUGCCCCUUACGUUCUGGGCUACACACGUACUACAAUGCUACGGACAAAGGGUAGCAAGACAGCGAUGUCAAGCCAAUCCCAUAAACCGUGGCUCAGUUCAGAUUGCAGGCUGCAACUCGCCUGCAUGAAGGCGGAAUCGCUAGUAAUCGCAGGUCAGCACUACUGCGGUGAAUACGUUCCCGGGCCUUGUACACACCGCCCGUCACACCAUGGAAGCUGGCUUAGCCCGAAGUCGUUACCCUAACCGCAAGGAGGGGGAUGCCGAAGGCAGGGCUGGUGACUGGGGUGAAGUCGUAACAAGGUAACC
rnacentral:rRNA from 1 species